rnacentral:rRNA from 1 species
AUUGAACGCUGGCGGAAUGCUUUACACAUGCAAGUCGAACGGUAGAGGGGGCAACCCCUCGAGAGUGGCGAACGGGUGAGUAAUAUAUCGGAACGUGCCCAGUCGUGGGGGAUAACGUUUCGAAAGGAACGCUAAUACCGCAUACGUCCUACGGGAGAAAGCAGGGGACCUUCGGGCCUUGCGCUAUCAGAUGAGCCUAGGUCGGAUUAGCUAGUUGGUGGGGUAAUGGCUCACCAAGGCGACGAUCCGUAACUGGUCUGAGAGGAUGAUCAGUCACACUGGAACUGAGACACGGUCCAGACUCCUACGGGAGGCAGCAGUGGGGAAUUUUGGACAAUGGGCGAAAGCCUGAUCCAGCCAUUCCGCGUGCAGGAUGAAGGCCCUCGGAUUGUAAACUGCUUUUGUACAGAACAAAAAGGUUUCUACUAAUACUAGGAGCUCAUGACGGUACUGUAAGAAUAAGCACCGGCUAACUACGUGCCAGCCGCCGCCGUAA